GACGAACGCUGGCGGCGUGCUUAACACAUGCAAGUCGAACGGUAAGGCCCUUUCGUGGUUGCACGAUUGGCGAGCGGGUGAGUAACACGUGAGUAACCUGCCCACCCUUUUGGGUUAACGCUAGUAAACUGGUGCUAGUACUGGACAUGUGGUCCUGCCUCAUGCUGGGGGUUGGAAAGCUCGGGCGGGUGUGGGUGGAUGCGCGGGCUAGCAGCUUGUUGGUGGGGGAGUGGCCUACCAAGGGGGCGGCGGGGGGCCGGCCGGAGUGGGUGGCCGGCCAGAAUGGGGACUAGAAAAGGGCCAAGCCCCUACGGGGGGCAGAAGGGGGGAAAAAUGCACAAGGGGCGGAAGCCCGAUGCAGCAACGCCGCGUGGGGGAUGACGGCCUUUGGGUUGGAAAACGCUUUCAGCAGGGACGGAGCUUUUUGUGACGGUACCUGCAGAAGAAGCACCGGCUAACUACGUG
rnacentral:rRNA from 1 species